ensembl:lncRNA
CUCAGGGCCAUCGUCUUAACUCCCACUAAGGCUGCCUUUUCAGAGCCAAUUUAGGUCACUGCUUCCAUUUGGGGCACAGAGACAGCUGGCUUUUACCACUCUUCCAGGCUCCCAAUUUCCAGACUCUCAGUCAACUUAGAUUGCAGGCAGCAGGGAGAGGUGACCCCUUAGUAGAACUGUAUUCCUUUCCCUCUCUACUUGCAAACUGGCUAGGUCUAACCUGAGUUCAUCUCUCUUUUCUAGGAAUCUGCUGAAAGCAGCAAGGAGCAAUCAGUACUCACCAAUCCUCAAGUUCUCCUAGAGUUACAGGCUCAGAGAGCAUGUGAUAUUCCUGUCAAGGUAUCAAUCUCAGAAGACAGUUUUUACAAAAUCUUCUGCCAGAGCAUCACAAGGGUCACCAGCUUUCCAGUCUGCAUAUCUGUGUUUGCUCCGCCUGACUAUGAAGCCAAUGCCACAUAUCCUCUUGAUAUGCUCAUCACUUCAUGUACCUUCCUCCUUGCUCCUGGCUGAGGCCUCCCUGAUGUGGCUUUGGGAUGGACAGUGCCAGACUCACCUGGAACCAGAAACCAGAAGUGGUUGGGCCAGGGGUCCCUACACUCAAGCCUACCAGAGGGGUGUGGAACCCUGCCCAGGUCUCUCAUCUUUGGCUGGACCUCUCCCAGCUCACUGCCCCCAGCCCAGCACCUCCUUUCCUCAGGUUGCCCUAUGGCGACAACCCCCAAGUGGCCUCCCUACCCCUGCCAGGUCUGCACCACCACUUCCCAACUCACAGGCCUACAUCAGGUCCUCCCCACCUUCCAGAAAGCCCCUCGUUCUGUGCUUGGUUUUCCCAUCUGCAAAAGGGGCGAAGGAGAGGCCCGCCUCCCAGUGUGUUCGGAAGAUCGCGAGAGAUGGCACAGCCAGGACACUGAGCAGGGCGCCCAGCGCCCUCGGUAAACAGGCAUCACUUUGAUGACCUCUUGCGGCAUCUUGCCUCCCUGUCCCCUCCUGUAGGCUUGGCAGGGACCAGGGCAGGUGCUGAGAUGGUCUCUCUGAAGCCUCCCCAACCCUAGCCGGAGUGCAUCAGCCCGCCUAAGAGAAGACUUGGGGACAUGUGAUAACGUGUCCCAGAGAAGGCUCGGAGCCUCUGUCUGUCCCCAGAAGCCCCAGUGGGCUGCAGAUAGAGGCAUGGGCCAGCUUUUGCCCGAAACCUGGCCCAGCUAUUUUUCUGACCCCUUCACAGUUCUGUCUCAGGCAUUGGUGGCAGGGCCAGCUUCAUGAGUUUGCAACCUGUGCAGUCACUCAGGGCCCCAUGAUCUUAAGGGCUCAACACCUGCUUUAAUGCUCUGAUGUCACCAUUUUGCAAUCCUUAAUAAUUUUGGAAAAUGGGGCACCCGCAUUUUCAUUUUGCCCUCAGUCCCACAAAUUAUAUAGCCCGUAGUGAUGGUGGGAAAGGUAGAGUGAGCUGGCUGGGCUCUUCCCUAGAAAAGCUGGUGCCAUCGCCCACCUCUUCACUUCCAUACAUACUCGUCUGCCACCUCCAUUGUCCCCUGUUUAUCCCCACAGCAGAGCAUCCAGAAGGGCUGGGGUCACACGUGGAGCCCUCACCGCCAGGAGGCACCAACAGAAUCUGGCAGCCUGCUUGGCUUGGAAACCCCCUUGGGGACAACUCCCACUCACAGGGCCUGCUGGCCAGGCCACCCGAAUUCCCAUCCUCUGACAGUCCUCUCUAGUCGCCUCCGCCCGACUCCACAGCUCAAGUGUGAAACCACAGCUGGGCGCCAGCCAAGGGGGCUUGGGUUUCACCACAUUCAACUUCCCACACCUCCACCCGAGGCCAGGGUCCCAUGGGGCCAUGGGCCAAAGGCCUGGGAUGGAAGGCAGAGUAGGAGGUGGGUUCCAGUCCCCCUUAGCUUCCUCUGUAUCUCAAAGUACCCUCUCUCUUGGGCCUUAAUUUCCCCUCUACAUAAUGGGACAGGAUUCAGCAGGGAUGGAGCAGAUGCUAAGGGUGCAGGGAAGAUAGGGCUCAGAGACCAAGGCCUUGAAGAAAGCUCUAGAACUUCACUGUCCAAUAAAAUAGCGAAGAGCCACGUGUGGCUAUUUAAAUUAAUUUCAAUGAAAUAAAAUUAAAAUUUUAGUUCCUCAGUCAGUCCAGCCACAUUUCAAGUGCUCAGUAGUGACAUGUGGCUUGUGGCUGCCAUAUUGGGCAGCACAGAUAUAGAACAUUUUCAUCGAC